GGGGCCAUAGCUCAGCUGGGAGAGCGCUACAAUGGCAUUGUAGAGGUCAACGGUUCGAUCCCGUUUGGCUCCA
rnacentral:tRNA from 2 species